GUGCGAAAUAGUACUGUAAACGGCCGCCCUAGCGUGAGGGUGCUAAGGUAGCGAAAUUCCUUGCCUUUUGAUUGUAGGCCUGCAUGAAUGGUUUAACGAGGGUUUAACUGUCUCUUGAUUUAAAAUUGAAAUUGUACUGAAGGUGAAGAUACCUUCAUUAAAAAGUCAGACAAAAAGACCCCGUGCAACUUUGAAAAUUAACUUUAUUCAGAAGUGAAAGAUUUUUAGGUGGGGCGCCUAGAAAGUAAAUCUAACCUUUCUGAACAUUUAGUUCUUUCCGGACUUGACCCGAUUAUAUUCGAUCAUAGGAGAAGUUACGCCGGGGAUAACAGGCUAAUCCUUUAGUAGAGCUCGUAUUGGCUAAAGGGAUUGGCACCUCGAUGUUGAAUCAGGGAUGAUAGCUUCAAGGCGUAGAGGCUUUGAGAGUAGGUCUGUUCGACCUUUAAUACCCU
rnacentral:rRNA from 1 species